ensembl:lncRNA
AAUGUAUACUUUUUGUCUGGAACAACUAAUGUGAUGUGCUAGCAGCUGUGUUUCAUCAACCUGUUAUUUGUGGAUGUGCAGGGAUCCUAUCCUUCAAUUUAUCUCAUGGAAUCAUCUCAGAUGCAUUUAAUUAGAUGGCAUUGUGACUCUGCCUCUCGUUGUGAUUGCAGUGCGUUAUUCCAGUACUUAGGGAAAUCUAGGAAGCCGAUGGCAGCUCACCUCACUGUUGAUGAGAGUAGCCUCUGUUUGCCUCCGGGCAAUUAGCUCUCAGGGCUGCUGAGGGACUCGGGCCCAGUGCUGGCCCAGCUGUCUCAAGACAUAAUACAUAUUGACUCCUCAUACUUCUUUUGUUCAGCUAAGUUAAUUAAAGCACAGACUAUUUGGCUUCAGUGUUGCCAUAUUGAAUGUGAAGUACAGCAUUCAUCAGCUCUCACUGAAAACCCAGGAGUGACGAGGGAGAGAACAAAAAAAAAAAAAUGAAUAAAGCACAAUUCAGAUACUAAAGCUAUUUUUUAGAGGUUUCUUUUAAUAAUGAUUGACAAACAAGUAAUUCAAAACAUGAACAACAACAGAAAAAAAAAUAAUUAACUGCAUGAAAAUUACUCUUUCUCAUUGAUAGUUAUGAGAAAGAAUGCAUAAGUACAGUGGGACAUUUGGUUAAGAUUUUCUUCUUAAGAAAAAAAUAAUCUUACAUGUUUUUCCUCUAGAGAUUGAGAAGAGAUCCGAAGAUCUCAACAUACACAAGUCUGCAAUUAAAGUGCAUACAGUAAAUACGUUUCCAAUCAAGGAUUCACAAGCACAGCCUGACUCAUGCGCCCGCCCAGACGCCUCACGCAGUUUUCUCUCCAGCUUGUCUUUUCAGAUCUGUGCGCGCAGGUAAUGCAAUGCUACCGCCCCCAGCAGCGAAUCCCACUGCACAUUUGCAUGCUUAAUUUCAUCGUAACUCUCUCUCUCUCUCUCUCUCUCUCUCUCUCUCUUGCACUCCUCAGCUCUAUGACUUCAUUUAUCAUAGCGGCUCUGGAACAUGUAAUGCAACACUUCCACUGCAGAUGCCCGAACUGUGUCCAUCAGCAGCUUGCAUGGUUAAUCUAUGUCCUUCACUCGAGCCAGAAGCGUCUGCUCUUGAAACAUGUCUUAACCGCUGGGAUGUCUUUUGCUCAAGUGAGCGAUUUUUCCAAUGUAAUGGACCCGGAACCCGUAGCUGUCAACAUCGUCCUUGGGAGCAAUGAUGCUUUGACACACGACCACCAGCUGCUGUGUGACAGUGUGCGAUGGAAACGACCGUGACAGACGGGUGAGUGACAGAUGCGAGAGUGAUGGAGUGUGCUUCACUACUUCAGACUUCCUGAGUGACAGAACGUCGGCCUAUGCUGGAGAAAAGGGUCUUCUGUGAACGUUUACAAUCUCAGUGUUUGGUUUGGUUAAAUGCCAGCAGGGUCAUUUUAGAUAAUUGUCCCUUUGUGAAUUUAACCCUGUAUAGCCUACAUAUUUGAUACAAAAUUGCCUCUAAAUGAUCACAAACCCUGUUGUACACAAUCUAUGACAUGCCUUCUCAUCUCAUUGAUAGUCAUACUUUUUGAGUAAAAAAAAAACUAAGUUUAAUCAUAAAAUAUAAUUGUAAAACUGUCCACCCUCAAGUUGUUAUUCAUGUCUUGUGAAAUUUUUAGUGAUUUUUAUAAAGUAAAUAUAGGAAUACAUUUUAUAUUGUUAGUAAUAUUUGAA